CUUGUUCUCUCGUUAUUGGGUCCUGACUUCGACAACAAUUUCGUGACUCUUAAUUCUGUUGGUGCUAGCGGUGGUGUACUGCUGGCCUGGAGAUCUAAAUUGGGAGCUAUUGUUGACUCUCGGGUUGAUGUCUUCAGUGUCUCUGUCAAAUUCUGUCCAACGAUUGGUGAUGAGUGGUGGUUGACCUGUGUGUACGGGCCCCAGGGUAACGAUAGGAAGCUCAUGUUCAUGCAAGAACUGCGUCUUAUUAGAGCUAAUUGUGCUGGACCUUGGAUUGUUGGUGGAGACUUCAACUUGAUUUAUAGAGAUGAAGACAAAAAUAAUCCUAAUCUCAACCGAUUCAUGAUGGGGAGAUUCAGGAGAUGUAUUCAGGAUUUAGGAAUCAAAGACAUCGAUCUACAUGGAAGGAAAUUCACCUGGUCAGGGGCAUAUGAUGUGUUGGUACGACUAGACAGAGUCUUCUGUUCCGUUGAGUGGGAGCAGAAAUUCCCAGAUUUCUUACUCCAAUGUUCCGCUUCUGAGGGCUCUGAUCAUUGUCCUCUCCUUCUUGGAUUGAAGGAUAAUCUUCGGGGCAAGAGGAGAUUCCACUUUGAGUCCUUCUGGACAAGAUUUGAGGGCUUUCAUGAUGCAGUUUCUAAUGCUUGGCACUCUGUACAGAUUAAUGCUUGCCCUCUUAAAUCUCUCUCCCUCAAGUUCAAGGCUACAGCCAAGGGGCUACAACGAUGGAGUGACAAAAAAGUGGGCAACUUCAAGUUACAGCUCGAGUUAGCUAGAGAAGUGAUGUUGCAGCUAGAAUCAGCAAGGGAUGGUAGACCUCUCUCUGAUCUCGAACGCUGGCUGCUACAGCAAUUAAAGAAACAUUGCUUGUUCCUUGCUUCCCUGCUCAGGACGGUGGCUAGGACCAGAUCUCGGCUGUCUUGGCUCAAGGACGGCGAUGCCAACACCAAGUUAUUUCAUGCUUGCUCAAGAUUUCGCAAGAGGAAGAACUUUAUUACUACAAUUCGGGAUGGAGAUCAGCUGUUCACCUCCCAUGAUGGGAAGGCUGAGGUUUUCUAGGAUUUCUAUAUGAAUCUAAUUGGAAGUGAAGUGCAGAGAAAUCAAACUAUCAACCUUGAUGCCUUGGGACUGCAGCAACAUGACCUUCAGGCUCUUGAGUUUUUAAUUACUGAGGAGGAGAUAUUGAACACUAUCAAGCAACUCCCCGCGGACAAGGCUCCUGGCCCCGAUGGGUUCACCAGGCAGUUUUAUAAAAGCUGCUGGCCUAUUAUAAAAAAUGACAUUAUGGCAGCUGUUUCAACUAUUUGGGGGAGAGACUUCAGGAAUUUCAGAUUCCUUAACAUAGCUUUCAUUACGCUGCUACCAAAACAUAAUGAUGCUAUUGCUGCCAAGGAUUUCAGACCCAUUAGUUUGAUCCACAGUUUCGCCAAGUUGGUGACUAAGGUUCUUGCAAAUAGGUUGAGGUGUCAUAUGGAGGGGCUGAUCUCUAAAGCACAAAGCGCCUUCAUCAAAGGUCGCUUCAUACAAGACAAUUUUAUGCUUGUCCAGCAGACGGCAAGAUUUCUCCACGCUAAAAACCAGCCCAGAAUUCUUUUGAAGCUGGACAUUUCCAAGGCCUUCGACUCGGUCUCUUGGCCUUUCCUUCUUGAGGUUCUGGAAAAAUUAGGCUUUGGCCCAGUGUGGAGGGAUGUGAUAAGUGGUUUUCUUAUGACCUCUUCCACCCAGAUCCUGCUCAAUGGAGUGCCUGGAAGGUUCAUUUCGCAUAGAAGGGGCUUGCGGCAAGGUGACCCCUUGUCUCCGCUGCUUUUUAUAAUUGUUAUGGAUGUCCUCACUUUGUUGUUUAUCAAGGCUGAGGAGCAUGGGUUGUUGCAGCCCAUUUCUUCUAAUUCUUUUCAGCACCGGAUCUCGCUCUAUGCAGACGACGUGGCUCUCUUCCUAAAACCAGAGCCUAGGGACUUAAACACUGCUGUGAGGAUUUUGGAUCUGUUUGGGGAUGCUUCAGGGUUGAGAACUAAUAUGGCAAAGAGCAGUAUUGUACCCAUCCGUUGCACACAUGCUGAUUUGAAUUUGGUCCAGCAGCUCCUUCCCUGCAGAUUUGAGACUUUUCCAAUUAAAUACUUGGGUCUCCCUCUCUCCCUGAAGAAGUUAUCUAAAGCUCAGCUUCAGCCUCUUAUUGACAAGGUGGCUGAUCUCUUACCGGCUUGGAAAGCUGACCUGAUGACCCGUGCUGGCAGAGCUACCCAGGUGCAAUUUGUGCUCACUGCUACUGUUAUUUAUCAAAUGAUGGCUCUAGAUUUGCCUAAGUGGGCUAUUAAAGCAAUUGAUAAAAUCCGUCGUGGGUUCUUGUGGCGAGGGCGUAAAGAGGCUAAUGGUGGUCAUUGUAUGGUGGCCUGGGGCAAGGUCACACGCCCAAAAGAGUUAGGGGGCUUGGUAUUUCUGAUCUCCAAUGCUUAAAUAGGGCCCUUCGUGUUAGAUGGAUUUGGCUCCAAAAAACUGAUUCUUCCAAACCUUGGACUGAUUUGCCAUUCCAUUCAAACCGGUUCUUGGAUAGCUUGUGCUCUUUGGCAAUGGCCUCCAUAGUGGGUGAUGGGCAGUCCACUCUUUUUUGGCAUGACAGAUGGAUCCUGGGUCAGAGGAUUGCAGACUUGGCCCCUCAUGUUUUUAGUUUGGUUCCUAAAAGGCUGGUGAAGCGAAGGACAGUGGCUGAUGCUCUGUGUAGCUCAUCAUGGAUUGGGGAUUUAAGGGGAGUGAUAUCUUGGGAGGUCAUUGCUGACUUCAUUUUGCUGGCAGAUGUUGUGGCUGAUGUUGAUCUUCAACCGGGAGUUCCAGAUAAACAUUAUUGGAGGUUCUCUUCCAAUGGUAUCUAUUCGGCCAAAUCUGCUUAUGAGAUAAUGUUCUGUGGUUCUACCUCCAUGGCGGGCUUUGAGAGAGUGUGGAGCACCUGGGCGCCGCCGAAGUGUCAGUUUUUCCUCUGGUUGGUCCUACAUAAUAAAUGUUGGACGGCUGACCGGCUCGCUAAGAGGGGUCUUCCCCAUCCUAGUUCUUGCCCCUUAUGUGACCAGGAGGGGAGAGUCUAUUCAUCACUUGCUUGUUUCUUGUGUUCUCGCGAGGCAAUUUUGGUAUCUUCUUCUCCAGCGGGUCGGCCUGUCCGCACUCUCCCCCGGGAUGGAAGAUAUCAAUUUUGAAGCUUGGUGGAGUAGAUCGGCUGAGGUUACUCCUAAGGACCUUAGAGAUGGCCUUAACUCUUUGGUGAUUCUUGGGGCUUGGACUAUCUGGAGACACCGUAAUGACUGUGUUUUCAAUGGUGCUCAGCCUUCUAUAGCUAGAUUGCUUACCUCAGCCAGUGAUGAGUUCAAUAUGUGGUGUUUUGCGGGGCCAAAGGCUUGACCCGUCUUUCGGACCUAGCUUUUGUGUUCAACCCCGGUUAGAAGGUGGUUAUUAUUACUAGUGUUGUUUGUGUGUGUGUUUGUGUGAGUGGUGUUUAGGUCAUUGUAAUUAUCUUCCUUCUUUUAAUGAAAUGAUACGCAGCUCUCCUGCGUGUUCGAGAAAAAAAACAUUGAGGAGGAAGUUCACUGUCAUGUUAAAUUGUUCAUCUGACCAACACGAGUCGAGGAACAUGCACAUAUGUAGCUUGUUUAGGUUUCGAUUCAGAGUAUCUUCUCUGUGGGCUUGCUGACAGUGUUGGGUAUGACUGAGCUUUUUACUCGAAGUUGGCAGAAGAGCUAUGCACGCUUCUCGUGGACACCCCAAGCGAGACGCUAGUUGGAUCUGCCCACGGGGUGUCUUGAGACGAUGCUCAUCGUUCCGGUUCCCGAUGAAAGCAGGACACUAUCUUCACCGAAAUUAUUUGCACCGAUGACCGAUUCAUAAGAGAAGGGUCGGUCCAUACUAUCAGGCCCUCGAUGGGUCUUUUGUUGAUGAUGUUUAGUGUUCAGGCAUGGCUGGCGUUCAGGUGUGUCCCGUAAUCUAGGAAAAGGGAGUGAAGCCUACAAUGCGUCAACACACCAAAGAGUUUCUUCAUGUCUCAUGUGCUUUAGGAUACAUUGAAGAAUCCGUGCAGGUUCAGUUCUCUCCCUAGAUCCGAGUGGAGCACUGAUUUUACUCUAGCUUACACGUCUCAUGUCGAAAGAAAUUUAAGAGAAACCUAUGCGGAUUGUCUCAGAGCGGGAGCGAGCCAAAACCGCUUUUUGUGCAAACUUGUGGAGCUGGGACCCGAUGCCGCGGCCUAAUACCGUGGACUGACGGCACGCAUAUGGGUUUCUUGUUUCCUCUGGUUUUCGGGGGCGUAGAAUUCUAGUGCAAGCUUCCUCACUAUGAAUUCUCAACCCGUGCUUACAAAACGAAACCGGGACCGAGUCAUGUAGAAUUCUAGUGCGUAGUACUACCUUGUUUGUUUGUGAUUGGGCGUGACUCUGGUCGGCGCUACUGCCACCACCGCUGGCAUACAAGCGAGGUGGGCAAGCGCCAGCGCACCUAGGAUUCUAGAAAGUUUCCAGACGAUACCAUCGACGCGGCGGCGGCACACGGAGAUGUCUCGCAAGCUACAGCCAUCGGAAAAAAAAAUCGCUGAGACAGACAGACAGGGCGUGCUUCUACUGAUCUACUGUAUUACAGCGGCACCGGCCAACGGGAUUAGACCUGGAGACAACAGAAAGGAGACACGGUCCGCCACGAAGCGAAGAAAGAAACAAAUUAGUAAAAGAAAAAAACAGCGACGGCCCAUCAGAUCGCUGCACAAAACCGUCGACGGCGCGGCAGCAGAAUUGAAAAAGGCAACGCGCGAUGCUUAUCCUCCGGGAGUGAUGUAGCUCGAGCAGACCCAAUCGCCCGCCCGGACUACUAUAUUUAUACACCAGCCCCGCCCGGUCCCCGCUCAUCGCGAGAUCGACCAUCAUCACAGAUCAUCCACAGAGGAGACCAUCUUCCGUGUAGAGACUAGACUAGAGAGAGAGGGGGAUAUAUGGCAGACAUCGUCCAAGGUGUGGAGCUCGUGGGUGGAGUCCGCCGCCGCGUCCGGGGUGAGGUUCAGCGUCGCGCUGCACCUGGAGCCCAAGACCGCGCUCGCCCUGGCCGCCGCCGAUGGCCUCUUCUCCGCCUAGCUAGCUAGCUAGCCUAGCUGCUUCCAGGCCCUUCUCCUGAGUGAGCAGAGCACUGAGCAGCAGUAGUCGAGUUCUUCUGGACCAUAUAAUACAAUGCGCGGUUCACCUGUACAUUCAUUCUUCGCUUCUCCUGCGCUCAUUGAUAUGCGCAUCUGCUUGAUUGUUUUCUCCUUGUCGUGACAUUUUUUUUAAGGACAUUUACAUUUGAACCACUAGUCUCGACGCCUUGCUCAGAUCUACACCCACCCAAAUUCUCUCCUCACUUUUCUCCUCUCACCUCUGCACUUAGCUCGGAUAUAACCUCACGUUCCAUCCCGUCAAAGCAUCUUACAGGUGGACCAAUGUCUUACAUGUGGGCCCCGCCACCUCCACACCUUUUCCUUUCCCCUGCUUUCUCUUCCUAAAUCGAAUCACACGUGAGAUUCGCUCCCAGGUUCACUCCCGUGCGGCGUCUCCGGCGUACGGCGUCUCCGACAAGCGCGGCUACGGCCAUUUCUGAGAGCAUUUAGAGGGGGUGAAUAGGUGAUCCUGUAACACUUCAAAAUCUUAAGCCACAAAACUUGAUUAAUUGUUAGCGCAGUAAUUUGCCAAGUGGCUGAAGAAGGAUCUCAACACAACACAAUAACCAAGAGAUAUCAAUCACAGAGAUGGCACAGUGGUUAUCCCGUGGUUCGGCCAAGACCAACGCUUGCCUACUCCAUGUUGUGGCGUCCCAACGGACGAGGGUUGCAAUCAACCCCUCUCAAGCGGUCCAAAGACCAACUUGAAUACCACGGUGUUGCUUUGCUUUUCUUAAUCCCACUUGCGAGGAAUCUCCACAGCUUGGAGCCUCUCGCCCUUACAAAAGAUGUUCACAAAGAAUCACGGAGCAAGGGAGGGAUUAGCAACUCACAUACGACACAAAGAUCACAGUGAAUACGCACACGCAAAACCCAGACUUGAGCUCAAGAGACUAGCACACUAGAACAGAGCUCAAAUCACUAGAAUGUCAAACAAGUGCGCAAGAAUGAAGUGUGAGUGAUCAAUGAUGCUCAAAGGAUGCUUGGUGUUCUCCUCCAUGCGCCUAGGGGUCCCUUUUAUAGCCCCAAGGCAGUUAGGAGCCGUUGAGCACAAAUCUGGAAAGCCAUUCUUGCCUUCUGUCAUCGGGGGCACCGGACAGUCCGGUGCACACCGGACACUGUCCGGUGCCUGAUCUCCUUCCUUAAAUAGUGAAGCCGACCGUUGGCAGACUUGGAGCCGUUGGCGCACCGGACAUGUCCGGUGCACACCGGACAGUCCGGUGCCAUCUUCUAGCCGUUGGCUCAGCCACGUGUCCCGCGCAGAUUGCGCGGCCGACCGUUGGCCCGGCCGACUGUUGGCUCACCGGACAGUCCGGUGCACACCGGACAGUCCGGUGAAUUUUAGCCGUACGUCGCCGGUGAAUUCCCGAGAGCGGCCACUUCGCUCGAGCCAGCCUGGCGCACCGGACACUGUCCGGUGCACCACCGAACAGUCCGGUGCUCCCAGACUCAGCAGAUUCUUGGCUGCUCGAGCCAAGACAUUUCCAAUUGGAUUUUUCCUGUUUCCAGCACUUAGAUACAAUACAUUAGUCCAUAAAACAAUGUACUAAGUCUGAGAAACAUACCUUUAUUCUUGAUAUGUACUUUGUCCACCUUUUUACACUUAGACACUUGUGUUGGACACUAAAUCACCAAAACACUUAGAAAUGGCCCAAGGGCACAUUUCCCUUUCAAUCUCCCCCUUUUUGGUGAUUUAUGCCAACACAACAUAAAGCAAGUAGAACAAGUACAAAAACAAUUCAAAUAAGAACUCAAAAUUGUUUUGAUUCAAUUUUGACAUAUAUGGAUCACUCUAUGCCACCACUUGGUUUGUUUUUGCAAAUCAAACUCAAAUUCCUAUCUCUAAGUCAAAACCACUUGUAGAGACAUAAAGAGAGGUUUUCCAAAGAAAUUUGAUCAAGGAUUUCAAAAACUCCCCCUUUUUCCCAUAAUCAGCACUUCUCUCCACAAGAGGCCAACUUUUGACAAGAGAGACAACAAAAGAGUUUUGACAAACCAAAAACUCUAAUCUACUAUUUUCAAAAUUUCUCAAGUGGUAGCUGAUCCAUUUAUUGCUUUGGCCUUUAUUUUCUCCCCCUUUGGCAUCAAGCACCAAAACGGGAUCAAUCUUGGCCCUUUAACCCCAUUGCCUCACCAAAAUCUUCAACUAAGAGCAAAUAGGCAAUAAGAGUAUAAAGAUGAACUUGGAAAAGUUACUCUUUUCAUCGGAGUGCAGUGGAAGUCUUGCAUGGUCCAAGUCCACCAUUUUCCCUUUCAAUUCUCCUUGGAGACUAAAACAACCAAACUCAAGUACAUGGUUAGUCUCAAAGGGUCAAGUUGUAGCACAGCUCCCCCUAAAUAUGUGCAUCACUUGCAAACAGGACUUGUGAGGUCCAGGGAGUGUUUGUACAACUUGAGCACCACAAUAAGCAACAAAAUGCAGAAUGAACAUGAGCAAAAGCAUAAACACAUGUAUGCUACAUUUCAAUCCAAGUUCCGCGAAUCUAAGAUAUUGAGCUCACUACGCAGCCUGCAAAAGGUCUUCUCAUCUAGAGGCUUGGUAAAGAUAUCGGCUAGCUGGUUCUCGGUGCUAACAUGAAACACUUCGAUAUCCCCCUUUUGCUGGUGGUCUCUCAAAAAGUGAUGCCGGAUGUCAAUAUGCUUUGUGCGGCUGUGCUCAACAGGAUUUUCCGCUAUUCGGAUAGCACUCUCAUUAUCACAUAGGAGUGGGACUUUGCUCAGAUUGUAGCCAAAGUCCCUGAGGGUUUGCCUCAUCCAAAGUAGUUGUGCGCAACACUGUCCUGCGGCAACAUACUCGGCCUCAGCGGUGGAUAGGGCAACGGAGGUUUGUUUCUUAGAGUUCCAUGACACCAGGGACCUUCCUAAGAAUUGGCACGUCCCCGAUGUACUCUUCCUAUCGACCUUACAUCCAGCAUAGUCAGAAUCUGAGUACCCAAUCAAGUCAAAGUUAGACCCCUUUGGAUACCAGAUCCCGAAGCAAGGCGUAGCGACUAAAUAUCGAAGAAUUCGCUUCACAGCCACUAAGUGACACUCCUUCGGAUCGGAUUGAAAUCUAGCACACAUGCAUACGCUAAGCAUAAUAUCCGGUCUACUAGCACAUAAAUAAAGCAAAGACCCUAUCAUGGACCAAUAUGCUUUUUGAUCAACGGACUUACCUCCUUUGUUGAGGUCGGUGUGUCCGUCGGUUCCCAUCGGCGUCUUUGCGGGCUUGGCGUCCUUCAUCCCAAACCUCUUUAGCAAAUCUUGUGUGUACUUCGUUUGGGAGAUGAAGGUGCCGUCCUUGAGUUGCUUCACUUGGAACCCAAGGAAGUAGGUCAACUCGCCCAUCAUCGACAUCUCGAAUUUCUGCGUCAUCACCCUGCUAAACUCUUCACAAGACUUUUGGUUAGUAGAACCAAAUAUUAUGUCGUCGACAUAAAUUUGGCACACAAAAAGAUCACCAUCGCAAGUCUUAGUAAAAAGAGUUGGAUCGGCUUUCCCAACCUUGAAAGCAUUAGCAAUUAAAAAGUCUCUAAGGCAUUCAUACCAUGCUCUUGGGGCUUGCUUAAGUCCAUAGAGCGCCUUAGAGAGCUUACACACGUGGUCGGGGUACCGUUCAUCCUCGAAGCCAGGGGGUUGCUCCACGUACACCUUCUCCUUGAUCGGCCCGUUGAGGAAAGCGCUCUUCACAUCCAUUUGGUACAACCUGAAAGAAUGGUGAGCGGCAUAUGCUAGCAAGAUGCGAAUUGACUCUAGCCUAGCCACAGGAGCAAAAGUCUCCUCAAAGUCCAAACCUGCGACUUGGGCAUAACCUUUUGCCACAAGUCGAGCCUUGUUCCUCGUCACCACCCCGUGCUCGUCCUGUUUGUUGCGGAACACCCACUUGGUUCCCACAACAUUUUGCUUGGGACGAGGCACCAGUGUCCAAACUUCAUUGCGCUUGAAGUUGUUGAGUUCCUCCUGCAUGGCCAACACCCAGUCCGGAUCUAGCAAGGCCUCUUCUACCCUGAAAGGCUCAAUAGAAGAGACAAAAGAGUAAUGCUCACAAAAAUUAACUAAUCUCGAGCGAGUAGUUACUCCCUUGCUAAUAUCACCCAAUAUCUGGUCGACGGGAUGAUCCCUUUGAAUCGUCGCUCGAACUUGGGUUAGAGGUGCCUGAGGUGCUUCUUCCUCUUCAACUUGAACAUCCUGUGCUCCCCUUUGAUCAUGCGCCUCCACUUGAGGUACCUGUUCAUUGCCUUGGGUUGGGGGAUGCACCAUAGUUGAGGAAGACGGUUGAUCUUGCUCCAAAUGUUCUUGAGGCCGUACAUCUCCAAUCGCCAUGGUGCGUAUCGCGGCCGUUGGAACGUCUUCUUCAUCUACAUCAUCAAGAUCAACAACUUGCUCUCUUGGAGAGCCAUUAGUCUCAUCAAAUACAACGUCGCUAGAGACUUCAACCAAACCCGAUGAUUUGUUGAAGACCCUAUACGCCUUUGUAUUUGAAUCAUAACCUAAUAAAAACCCUUCUACGGCUUUGGGAGCAAAUUUGGAAUUCCUACCCUUCUUCACUAGAAUGUAGCAUUUACUCCCAAAAACACGAAAAUACGAUACAUUAGGUUUGUUACCGGUUAGCAGCUCAUACGACGUCUUCUUGAGGAGGCGGUGAAGGUAGACCCUGUUGAUGGCGUGGCAAGCCGUGUUCACGGCUUCCGACCAAAAGCACUCGGGGGUCUUGAAUUCUCCAAGCAUAGUCCUCGCCAUAUCUAUGAGUGUCCUGUUCUUCCUCUCUACCACACCAUUUUGCUGAGGUGUGUAGGGAGCGGAGAACUCGUGCUUGAUUCCCUCCUCCUCAAGAAACUCCUCCACUUGAAGGUUCUUGAAUUCGGACCCGUUGUCGCUCCUUAUCUUCUUCACCUUGAGCUCAAACUCAUUUUGAGCUCUCCUUAGGAAGCACUUGAGGGUCCCUUGGGUUUCAGACUUAUCCUGCAAAAAGAACACCCAAGUGAAGCGGGAAAAGUCAUCAACGAUAACUAGACCAUACUUACUUCCUCCUAUGCUCAGAUAGGCGACGAGUCCGAAGAGGUCCAUAUGUAGCAGCUCCAGGGGUCUUGAUGUUGUCAUCACAUUUUUGGUGUGAUGAGAGCCUCCCACCUGUUUCCCUGCUUGACAAGCUGCACAAGGUCUAUCUUUUUCGAAAUGAACAUUGGUUAGACCUAUCACGUGUUCUCCCUUUAGAAGCUUGUGGAGGUUCUUCAUCCCCACAUGUGCUAAGCGGCGAUGCCACAGCCAGCCCAUGCAAGUCUUAGCCAUUAAGCAUGCAUCUAGACCGGCCUCUUCUUUUGCAAAAUCAACUAAGUAAAGCUUGCCGUCUAGUACACCCUUAAAAGCUAGUGAACCAUCACAUCUUCUAAAGACAGACACAUCUACAUUUGUAAACAAACAGUUAUAUCCCAUAUUGCAUAAUUGACUAACAGAUAGCAAAUUAUAUCCAAGACUCUCCACUAGAAACACAUUAGAGAUAGAAUGCUCAUUGGAUAUUGCAAUUUUACAUAGCCCUUUUACCUUGCCUUGAUUCCCAUCACCGAAUAUUAUUGAAUCUUGGGAAUCUUUGUUUUUGACGUAGGAGGUGAACAUCUUCUUCUCCCCCGUCAUAUGGUUUGUGCAUCCGCUGUCAAUGAUCCAGCUUGAACCCCCGGAUGCAUAAACCUGCAAGGCAAAUUUAGGCUUGGGUCUUAGGUACCCAACUCAUGUUGGGUCCUGCAAGGUUAGCACAAAUAUCCUUAGGGACCCAAAUGCAAGUUUUGUCUCCCUUACAUCUUGCCCCUAAUUUUCUAGCAACUAUCUUCCUAUCCUUUCUACAAAUAGCAAAAGAAGCAUUUAAAGCAUGAUAUACUGUAGAAGGUUCAUUUACUUUCCUAACAACAUUUCUAUCAUGCACAUAAGAAGAACUAGAAGCAAACAUGGCAUGAGAAUCAAAGGCAUUAUAUGCAUUACAACUCCUAUAAGCAUUUCUAGAUUGUCUCCUAUCAUGGUACAUAAAAGCAUGGUUCUUUUGCACACUACUAGCCAUAGGGGCCUUUCCUUUCUCCUUGGCGGAGAUGGGAGCCUUAUGGCUUGUCAAGUUCUUGGCUUCCCUCUUGUAGCCAAGUCCAUCCUUAAUUGAGGGGUGUCUACCAAUCGUGUAGGCAUCCCUUGCAAAUUUUAGCUUGUCAAAUUCAUUCUUGCUAGUCUUAAGUUGGGCAUUAAGACUAGCUAAUUCCUCAUUUAAUUUAGAAAUUGAAACUAAAUGAUCACUACAAGCAUCAAUGUCAAAAUCUUUACACCUAUUACAAGUUUCAACAAUUUCUACACAAGAAUUAGAUUUACUAGCUACUUCUAGUUUAGCAUUUAAAUCAUCAUUAAAACUUUUUAACUUAGCAAUAGUUUCAUGACAAGAAGAUAAUUCACUAGAGAGCAUUUCAUUCCUCUUAAUUUCUAGAGCAAGAGAUUUCUGAGCUUCUACAAAUUUAUCAUGUUUUUCAUACAACAAAUCCUCUUGCUUUUCUAAAAGUAUAUUCCUAUCAUUCAAGGCAUCAAUCAAUUCAUUAAUUUUGUCUACCUUAGUUCUAUCUAAUCCCUUGAAUAAGCAUGAGUAAUCUAUCUCAUCAUCAUCACUAGACUCAUCCUCACUUGAAGAAGCAUAAGUACUAGUAUUAGGAGUGCUUACUUUCUUCUCCCUUGCCAUGAGGCAAGUGUGACGCUCGUUGGGGAAGAGGGAUGACUUGUUGAAGGCAGUGGCGGCGAGUCCCUCAUUGUCGGAGUCGAACGAGGAGCAGUCCGAAUCCCACUCCUUGCCAAGAUGAGCCUCGCCCUUUGCCUUCUUAUAGUUCUUCUUUUUCUCCCUCUUGUUCCCUUGAUCCUGAUCACUAUCAUUGUCGGGACAGUUAGCAAUAAAAUGACCAAGCUUACCGCAUUUGAAGCAUGAGCGCUUCCCCUUGGCUUUGGUCUUGCUUGGCUGUCCCUUGCGACCUUUAAGCACCGUCUUGAAUCUUUUGAUGAUGAGAGCCAUCUCUUCAUCAUUAAGUCCGGCCGCCUCAAUCUGUGCCACCUUGCUAGGUAGCGCCUCCUUGCUUCGUGUUGCCUUGAGAGCAAGGGGUUGCGGCUCGUUGAUCGGACCAUUCAAGGCGUCGUCCACGUACCUCGCCUCCUUGAUCAUCAUUCGCCCGCUAACGAAUUUCCCAAGAACUUCUUCGGGCGACAUCUUGGUGUACCUGGGAUUUUCACGAAUAUUGUUCACCAAAUGAGGAUCAAGAACGGUAAAUGACCUUAGCAUUAGGCGGACGACGUCGUGGUCCGUCCAUCGCGUGCUCCCGUAGCUCCUUAUUUUGUUGAUAAGGGUCUUGAGCCGGUUGUAUGUUUGUGUCGGCUCCUCGCCCCUUAUCAUCGCGAACCGUCCAAGCUCGCCUUCCACCAACUCCAUUUUGGUGAGCAAGGUGACGUCGUUUCCCUCAUGAGAGAUCUUGAGGGUGUCCCAGAUCUGCUUGGCAUUGUCCAAGCCGCUCACCUUGUGAUACUCGUCCCUGCACAAAGAGGCUAGCAACACAGUAGUAGCUUGUGCAUUUUUAUGAAUCUGUUCAUUAAUAAACACAGGGCUAUCCGAGCUAUCAAAUUUCAUUCCACUUUCCACAAUCUCCCAAAUGCUUGGAUGGAGAGAAAACAGGUGAGUACGCAUUUUGUGGCUCCAAAAUCCGUAGUCCUCUCCAUCAAAGUGAGGGGGUUUGCCAAGUGGAAUGGGGAGCAAUUGAGCAUUUGAACUAUGCGGGAUGCGCGAAUAAUCGAAAGAAAAGUUUGAGUUAACUGUCUUUCGUCUAUCGUGGUCGUCGUCGUCCUUUUGGGAGGAGGAAGAUUCGUCGCUGUCGUAGUAGACAAUUUCCUUGAUGCGCCUUGUCUUCUUCUUCCUCCCGUCUUUUCUUUUGUGGCCCGAGCCUGAGUCGGUGGGCCUGUCAUCAUUGGGCUCGUUGACGAAGGUCUCCUUCUCCUUGUCGUUGAUCACCAUCCCCUUGCCCUUAGGAUCCAUCUCUUCGGGCGGUUAGUCCCUUUCUUGAAGAGAACGGCUCUGAUACCAAUUGAGAGCACCUAGAGGGGGGGGGGGUGAAUAGGUGAUCCUGUAACACUUCAAAAUCUUAAGCCACAAAACUUGAUUAAUUGUUAGCGCAGUAAUUUGCCAAGUGGCUGGAGAAGGAUCUCAACACAACACAAUAACCAAGAGAUAUCAAUCACAGAGAUGGCACAGUGGUUAUCCCGUGGUUCGGCCAAGACCAACGCUUGCCUACUCCACGUUGUGGCGUCCCAACGGACGAGGGUUGCAAUCAACCCCUCUCAAGCGGUCCAAAGACCAACUUGAAUACCACGGUGUUGCUUUGCUUUUCUUAAUCCCACUUGCGAGGAAUCUCCACAGCUUGGAGCCUCUCGCCCUUACAAAAGAUGUUCACAAAGAAUCACGGAGCAAGGGAGGGAUUAGCAACUCACACACGACACAAAGAUCACAGCGAAUACGCACAUGCAAAACCCAGACUUGAGCUCAAGAGACUAGCACACUAGAAUGGAGCUCAAAUCACUAGAAUGUCAAACAAGUGCGCAAGAAUGAAGUGUGAGUGAUCAAUGAUGCUCAAAGGAUGCUUGGUGUUCUCCUCCA
rnacentral:lncRNA from 1 species